GCUAGGUGUGGUGGUGCACACCUGUAAUCCCAGCUGCUUGGGAGGCUGAGGCAGGAAGAUCAGAAGUUUGACAUUAGCUUGGGCAAUUUAGUGAGACCAUGUCUCAA
rnacentral:sRNA from 1 species